GAUGAAGAACGUAGUGAAAUGCGAUAAGUAAUGUGAAUUGCAGAAUCCAGUGAAUCAUCGAGUCUUUGAACGCACAUUGCGCCCCCUGGUAUUCCGGGGGGCAUGCCUGUCCGAGCGUCAUUGCUGCCCUCAAGCACGGCUUGUGUGUUGGGCCUCCGUCCUCCUCCCGGGGGACGGGCCCGAAAGGCAGCGGCGGCACCGCGUCCGGUCCUCGAGCGUAUGGGGCUUCGUCACCCGCUCUUGUAGGCCCGGCCGGCGCUUGCCGACACAUCAAUCUUUUUUCCAGGUUGACCUCGGAUCAGGUAGGGAUACCCGCUGAACUUAAGCAUAUCAAUAAGCGGAGGA
rnacentral:misc_RNA from 1 species